GGGAUCUUUAACAGGGGGUCCUGGGCCCCUAGGGGGUCCUCAGAGUCAAUGCAGGGGUGCCUCCAAAUUAGUUAAUUUUUAAAAUUUAAAAAAAAUAAAUGUAAAAG